ACGGGACCGCCCGGCCCACCGUGGCUGAGGGGACUUGUGCCAGGCCCAGCGACCUUCCCAAAGUCGGGUCCCCAGGCAGGGAAGGGGCUUCCCUGUGCUGGUCCCUGAUGUGACCGGAGGGGCGCAGGGCAGUGGACCCCAGAGUAGAGCAAAGUCAGCAACAGGCGCUUGGCUUUUGCGUUUCUGAAGGUUUUUUUGUGCAAUGAGCAGGUGCUCUAAUAAGCCAUAUAUUUAACUCCUUCUUUUCCUUCAUAAACAUAUAUUCAUACUUGGAUAUGAAGUAUAGAAAAUGCCAGGAUGAAAAGAUAUCAGCAGGUAAAAAAUUGGAAAACUGUUGAAACUCUUUCUGGAUACUGAAUGAUGGCUACAGCCCAGUCCCUUUGUCCAGAGCUGUGGUGGUGCCAGAUUGCUGUGACCCAAGUGCAACAGUCACCACCAUAGGAUCCACUUCCCCAGGGAUGGGUCCUGGUCCAUGUGCCAUACGAGCCAGUUCAAUCAGAACCAAAAGUUAAUGCCCGUUGGCUGAUUUCCAGUGCAUGCCUCCACAGAACAACUGCUGCCUUUAACUGAUGGAGAUCAAGGCUUGAACUGACAAAAGACAUCUGUAUUUUGGAAAACAAAUUAAU